rfam:Manacus vitellinus contig23508, whole genome shotgun sequence.
CCCCUGGUGGUAUAGUGGUUAGGAUGUGGUGCUCUCACCACUGCGGCCUCGGUUCGAUUCCCGGUCAGGGGA